rnacentral:rRNA from 1 species
AUAGCGUAUAUUAAAGUUGUUGCAGUUAAAAAGCUCGUAGUUGAAUUUUGGAUUCUACCAAUUGGUCCAUCUUUUAGAUGAGUACUGGUUGUGUGGGGUCUAUCCGCCUGGUGAUACGUAAUGUCCUUUAUUGGAUGUUGCGGGUAGUCAGGACCUUUACCUUGAAAAAAUUAGAGUGUUUAAAGCAGGCUUAUGCCGGAAUACAUUAGCAUGGAAUAAUAGAAUAGGACGAAGUUGUUUUAUUUUGUUGGUUUCUAGGACAACCGUAAUGAUUAAUAGGGAUAGUUGGGGGCAUUAGUAUUCAAUUGUCAGAGGUGAAAUUCUUGGAUUUAUUGAAGACUAACUACUG